rnacentral:rRNA from 1 species
AUUGAACGCUGGCGGCAGGCCUAACACAUGCAAGUCGAGCGAGCGGCGGACGGGUGAGUAAUGCCUGGGAAUUGCCCAGUCGAUGGGGAUAACAGGUGGAAAAGACUGCUAAUACCGCAUACGAUUGGAUUGCCCAGGUGGGAUUAGCUAGUUGGUGAGGUAAUGGAUCCCCAAGGCGACGAUCCCUAGCUGGUCUGAUAGGAGGAUGAGCCACGCUGGAACUGAGACACGUUCCAGACGCCUACGGGAGCCAGCUGUGGGGAAGAUUGGACAAGGGGGGAAACCCGUAUGCAGCCAUGCCGCGGGUGUGAAGAAGGUCUUCGGUUUGUAAAGCAUGUUCAGCGAGGAGGCGUUACUCGCAGAAGAAGCACCGGCUAACUCCGUGCCAGCCGCCGCGGUAAUAC